UAAUACGAAGGGUGCAAGCGUUAGUCGGAAUUACUGGGCGUAAAGCGUGCGUAGGCGGUUUGUUAAGUCGGAUGUGAAAGCCCCGGGCUCAACCUGGGAAUGGCACUCGAUACUGGCAAGCUGGAGUACGGUAGAGGAUGGUGGAAUUCCCGGUGUAGCGGUGAAAUGCGUAGAGAUCGGGAGGAACAUCUGUGGCGAAGGCGGCCAUCUGGACCAGUACUGACGCUGAGGCACGAAAGCGUGGGGAGCAAACAGGAUUAGAUACCCUGGUA
rnacentral:rRNA from 1 species